ACGGGUGCGUAACGCGUGGGAAUCUGCCCCUUGGUUCGGAAUAACAGUUGGAAACGACUGCUAAUACCGGAUGAUGACGAAAGUCCAAAGAUUUAUCGCCAAGGGAUGAGCCCGCGUAGGAUUAGCUAGUUGGUGAGGUAAAGGCUCACCAAGGCAACGAUCCUUAGCUGGUCUGAGAGGAUGAUCAGCCACACUGGGACUGAGACACGGCCCAGACUCCUACGGGAGGCAGCAGUAGGGAAUAUUGGACAAUGGGCGAAAGCCUGGUCCAGCAAUGCCGCGUGAGUGAUGAAGGCCUUAGGGUUGUAAAGCUCUUUUACCCGAGAUGAUAAUGACAGUAUCGGGAGAAUAAGCCCCGGCUAACUCCGUGCCAGCAGCCGCGGUAAUACGGAGGGGGCUAGCGUUGUUCGGAAUUACUGGGCGUAAAGCGCACGUAGGCGGUUAUUCAAGUCAGAGGUGAAAGCCCAGUGCUCAACACUGGAACUGCCUUUGAAACUAGAUAGCUUGAAUCCAGGAGAGGUGAAUGGAAUUCCGAGUGUAGGGGUGAAAUUCGUAGA
rnacentral:rRNA from 1 species